AUUGAACGCUGGCGGCAGGCCUAACACAUGCAAGUCGAGCGGAUGAAGGGAGCUUGCUCCUGGAUUCAGCGGCGGACGGGUGAGUAAUGCCUAGGAAUCUGCCUGGUAGUGGGGGAUAACGUCCGGGAACGGGCGCUAAUACCGCAUACGUCCUGAGGGAGAAGGUGGGGGAUCUUCGGACCUCACGCUAUCAGAUGAGCCUAGGUCGGAUUAGCUAGUUGGUGGGGUAAAGGCCUACCAAGGCGACGAUCCGUAACUGGUCUGAGAGGAUGAUCAGUCACACUGGAACUGAGACACGGUCCAGACUCCUACGGGAGGCAGCAGUGGGGAAUAUUGGACAAUGGGCGAAAGCCUGAUCCAGCCAUGCCGCGUGUGUGAAGAAGGUCUUCGGAUUGUAAAGCACUUUAAGUUGGGAGGAAGGGCAGUAAGUUAAUACCUUGCUGUUUUGACGUUACCAACAGAAUAAGCACCGGCUAACUUCGUG
rnacentral:rRNA from 1 species